rnacentral:rRNA from 1 species
GACGAACGCUGGCGGCGUGCUUAACACAUGCAAGUCGAACGGAAAGGCCUCUUUCGGGGGGUACUCGAGUGGCGAACGGGUGAGUAACACGUGAGUAACCUGCCCUUGACUUUGGGAUAACUUCAGGAAACUGGGGCUAAUACCGGAUAGGAGCUCCUGCUGCAUGGUGGGGGUUGGAAAGUUUCGGCGGUUGGGGAUGGACUCGCGGCUUAUCAGCUUGUUGGCGGGGUAGUGGCUUACCAAGGCUUUGACGGGUAGCCGGCCUGAGAGGGUGACCGGCCACAUUGGGACUGAGAUACGGCCCAGACUCCUACGGGAGGCAGCAGUGGGGAAUAUUGCACAAUGGGUGGAAGCCUGAUGCAGCAACGCCGUGUGCGGGAUGACGGCCUUCGGGUUGUAAACCGCUUUCGCUCAUGACGAAGCUUUGUGUGACGGUAGUGGGUAAAGAAGCACCGGCUAACUACGUG